rnacentral:lncRNA from 1 species
AAGACACACGGAAGAAAGAAAACUACAAACCAAUAUCCCUGAUGAACUUAGAUGCAAAAAUACUUAAUAUUAGCAAAUCAUGUUCAACAACAUAUUAAGAAGAUUGUACACCAUGACCAAGUUGGUUUUAUUCCAGAGAUGCAAGGAUGGUUUAAUAUAAGCAAAUCAAUAAAUGCAAUUCAUCAUAUUAACAGAAUUAAGGACAAAAAAUCACUUAGUAAUCUUAAUAGAUGCAAAGAAGGU